rnacentral:lncRNA from 1 species
UCUCAUCAUCCCAUCACACUGUAUUUCUAUUGAUAUUCUAAUUCUAAUCUCAAUAUAUUACUUGCUUACUAAUUCUAAGCCAAGUGUCAAGUUUUCUCUCUUUAAUCUGUAGGUAUGAUUCUUAGUUAUAUCGGUCAUCCUCUUGAAGUCUUGUACGUGUCAUAUGACCUUGUUCUCAAAUCUCAAUUGAUUAAUGCUUUGAUCAAAUUUAGUCGCAAUAUCUCAUCAUCUCAAAUUUCAAUUGAUUAAUGUCUUGAUAGUCUCAAUAUCUCAUCAUCCCAUCGCACUGUAUUUCUAUUAAUAUUCUAAUUCUAUUAUCAAUUGCUUACUUACUAAUUCUAAACCAAGUGUCAAACUUUAUCUAUUUAAUCUGCAUGUAUGAUUAUUAGUUAUAUUGGUCAUUCUCUUGGAGUCUUGUACGUGUCAUAUGACCUAGUUCUCAAAUCUCAAUUGAUUAAUGUUUUGAUCCAAUUUAGUCCCAAUAUCUCAUCAUCUCAAAUCUCAUGUGUAUCAGCAAGAGGGGCUAAUCCGAACGUGGUUUGUCUCCAUUCAAUUGAGAGGGAAGCCCCCGGGACGCUACGGUGCCUUAGCUGGUUCCCGAUCCUCCUUCAAAAGUGGGAAAGAGAGGCGGAAGGCGCCCCUUCCAAACAAUGAAAAAAAUCCGAGGAACUUCGAAGCUUAUAGGGCCUCCUCUUGUAAGCUAGCUCCAUUCGAUCGAUCGCUUCCGUUCAUAAUAGAUUGGUUGUGAAUUAAUUGAUUAAUGCCUUGAUAGUCUCAAUAUCCCAUCAUCCUAUCACACUGUAUUUCUAUUGAUAUUCUAAUUAUAAUCUCAAUUGCUUGCUUAUUUUAUUGUAGAUAACUAAUGCUUUUGAUGUGUAUAUAUAUAGAUAUAUAGUUGUAAUAGUACCAACAUUUGAUUCAUAGUUAUUAGAUUGUGUUUUUCCGUCCUGUUAGGUUUAAGGAUUAUACACUCGUUUACUGUAUUGUUAGAGCGGUGAUUGUGUGCUUAGUUAUUAGAUUUUGCUUCUAUUCAAGAGCGUAUGGUUCAAUUUGAGUAUGUUUGUUCUUUUAUCUUUAGCUUUUGUUAUCGAAUUUCUAUAAAAUGUUAAAAUAUUAAUUUCUUAAUGAUCAGUUAACUACGUGAUUAUUUGAUAUGUUUUUAAUCUAAAAUGUGAUAUGUAAAAUAUAGAAGAAAAAAAAAUAAAACAAUUUUAAGAAAAAAAUUUCAGUCCACCCCAACCUAAAAUCCUAGGUCCAACAUUGUGUGUGUGUGUAUAUAUUUAUAUAUACAGUCCGUUUCAGAUACGAACGUCCACACCGUAAACGGUGCGGACGUCCGCACCUGAUAACUGUUGUGUAUAUAUAUAUAUAUAUAUAUCAUGAAAUUAGAUUAAUUUAUAAUUAAUUUGAUCAAGAGAUUAACGUAAUCUUGUAAGGCUAUAACAUAUUCGAUCCUAUAAUGCAGUUCAUUGCAUUUAUAACUAGUACUGUCUAUGCAGCUUGUAAUCACAAGGAAGUAAAAGCUAGCGUCAGAGAUAGAUAGCGAAUUAGGGCUCUCUUGCAUACCCAAGAUGAAUUACCUACCCUACCUGGUCAUUGUUUGCCCAUAAUGCAACUCGAUCGAACACGGAACCAAAUUUGCCAACCAUCAAAUUUGGUGGUCANNNNN